CCUACGGGAGGCAGCAGUGGGGAAUAUUGCGCAAUGGAGGAAACUCUGACGCAGCAACGCCGCGUGUGUGAAGAAGGCCCUAUGGGUUGUAAAGCACUGUUGAGGUGGGAAGAGCAGGCGGAAGUUAAUACCUUUCGCUCCGACGGUACCAUCUGAGGAAGCACCGGCCAACUCUGUGCCAGCAGCCGCGGUAAU
rnacentral:rRNA from 1 species